UUUUUCCUUGUUCGCAUUUGUAAAAGUUACUCCUGCUGCUUGCAGAGAUGACCAAGAAGAACUGUCCUCCUGGCACAACAUGGGACAACCUUGUCAACACCUGCAUCCGAGGUUGGGCCGAAACACGACCUGAACCUCCAACAGAGUUGACCCCAGUUUUCCAUCAGAGAAGCACAUCUCCUGCUGCAAGGGCGGACCCGGAUAUCGCUCUGAAUCCGGUUCUGUGGAUUGUGGUGGUUUUGACCACCGUGGGGUCCAUCAUGGCUUUGGCUCUCUGGUUCAUCAUAUACAAACGACAGAGCAGGCUCGGUAGAACCUCGGGUAUGUGUGCAAUUCCAUAGUAUCGAUGCAGCGGAAAUACAGGACGGCACAACGCGUUUUGUUGAUUUUUUGUUGAUUGUUUAUUCCAACUUUCUCUCACAUUCCAAAAACACAUGGCCGAGGUGCCUAUGUAAUAGCAUUUUAUUGAAUAAUUUUACUCUUAUCGCAGUGAGCUCCUGCCAUCUCAAAAAGUCAUUUUUCUAUGGUUAUCGUCACUUCUCCAUCGCCAAAAAGCAGCAGCACUGUUUAGUUAUAGUGUUCGCGUUUAAAUGGCACGCCUGGGCUCUGACUCAGAGGACAGGCGUCUCAGGAGUAUUUUGGAGGAAGUGGGCUAGCGGGUGCUGGGGUGUAACACUGCCUGAUGGGAGAAACAGCGCAGUUUCUGUUCUUCUCUCGGGCCUCCCAUGGGUCAACCCCACUCUCUUGCUUGUGACUCGAGUUCUAUUCUUAGCAGGAGAUCAAAUGAGAUCUCCUGGUGAACAGCACAUGAAGUGACAGUCAAGGUGAUCUCGAACAGUAAGUUAUACUAAAGCUGUUAGAAGAGGCCAGCCUGUCAUAUCUUAUGUUC